rnacentral:tRNA from 6 species
GGCCCGUUGGUCAAGCGGUCAAGACGCGACCCUCUCACGGUCGAAUCAAGGGUUCGACUCCCUUACGGGUCA